rnacentral:lncRNA from 1 species
GGAGAAAUGAGUUCAACUUUUCAAUCCUUUGGGCUAUAUCAAGAUAAGGGGGAAACUUGGGAGGUUCAAUCACAACAAAAUAGGGGCCCAAUUGAAAGAAAUUAAAAGUUUUUAGGGCCUGAUCAAGAUUUUUGAAUGUUAUCAUCUUCUUUACCGAGAAACUGAAGCAAUCACCAGUUAACAUUUCCGUUGUUAUUGAUCAGCAAUACCAGAAACUUGUUUCAAUUCCAAACCAACGAAAUCCACCCAGAAUAUGCAAAAACAAAUUCAUCUCCUAUCACUGAUUCGGAUUGGAGCAAGAAACAGAGAAACAAAACAAAACAACAAUUCAUCAAGAUUUCUCAAACGCAAGGAAUGAGCUCACGGACUUGGAAAAAUGCCGGCUAAUCAUCUAUCAAUUAGAACUUUCACUCGGACAAUUUAACAAGCAAUGGAUGGGCAUGAAAGAACUUCAGCAAAUUUCGCUCAAUUGACUCUAGAAUCCGCCCCAAAAUUUCAUUAGCAACUCAAGAAAUACAACCCAAUGAACCCAGAAAGC